UGGCGAACGGGUGAGUAACACGUGGGCAACCUGCCCAAAANAGGGGGAUAACACUUGGAAACAGGUGCUAAUACCGCAUAACCAUAGUUACCGCAUGGUAACUAUGUAAAAGGUGGCUAUACUACCGCUUUUGGAUGGGCCCGCGGCGCAUUAGCUAGUUGGUAGGGUAAAGGCUUACCAAGGCAAUGAUGCGUAGCCGAAUUGAGAGGUUGAUCCGGCCACAUUGGGACUGAGACACGGCCCAAACUCCUACGGAAGGCAGCAG
rnacentral:rRNA from 1 species